rnacentral:rRNA from 1 species
UACAAACAGUCGGAGCCUGCAAGGGUGACGGCGUACCUUUUGUAUAAUGGGUCAGCGACUUAAUUUAACGAGCAAGCUUAAGCCGAUAGGUGUAGGCGCAGCGAAAGCGAGUCUGAACAGGGCGUUGAGUUCGUUGAAUUAGACCCGAAACCUAGUGAUCUAGCCAUGAGCAGGUUGAAGGUGCGGUAACACGCACUGGAGGACCGAACGGGUGUCUGUUGAAAAAGACUCCGAUGACUUGUGGUUAGGGGUGAAAGGCCAACCAAACUGGGAAAUAGCUGGUUCUCCGCGAAAUCUAUUUAGGUAGAGCCUCGCAUGAAUACUCCAGGGGGUAGAGCACUGGAUGGGCUAGGGGGGUACACAACCUUACCAAACUCAACCAAACUCCGAAUACCUGGAAGUACUGUGCGGGAGACACACGGCGGGUGCUAACGUCCGUCGUGAAGAGGGAAACAACCCAGACCAACAGCUAAGGCCCCCAAUUCGUGGCUAAGUGGGAAAGGAUGUGGAAAUCCCAAAACAACCAGGAGGUUGGCUUAGAAGCAGCCAUCCUUUAAAGAAAGCGUAACAGCUCACUGGUCUAAAUAAGGGUUUCUGCGCCGAAGAUGUACCGGGGCUCAAGCCACGAGCCGAAGCUUUGGGUGUGCGCAAGCACGCGGUAGCGGAGCGUUCUGUAAGUCUGCGAAGGGACAGCCGUGAGGCAUCCUGGAGAUAUCAGAAGUGCGAAUGCUGACAUGAGUAACGAGAAACACUGUGAAAGACAGUGUCGCCGAAAGUCCAAGGGUUCCUGCGUAAAGUUAAUCUUCGCAGGGUUAGCCGGUCCCUAAGGCGAGGCCGAAAGGCGUAGUCGAUGGGAAUCACGUUAAUAUUCGUGAGCCAGUGGAUGGUGACGGAUUGCGAAAGUCGUUCGGUCUUAUUGGAUUGAUCGGGCGGCCUGGCAGUUCCAGGAAAUAGCCUCCACAUUCGUCCGUACCCGAAACCGACACAGGUGGACUGGUAGAGUAUACCAAGGCGCUUGAGAGAAUGACGCUGAAGGAACUCGGCAAUUUACCUCCGUAACUUCGGAAUAAGGAGGCCCUUUAUCCGCGCAAGCGGGUCGAGGGGGCACAGACCAGGGGGUGGCAACUGUUUACCAAAAACACAGGACUCUGCGAAAUCGCAAGAUGACGUAUAGGGUCUGACGCCUGCCCGGUGCCGGAAGGUUAAGAGGAGGAGUGCAAGCUCUGAAUUGAAGCCCCGGUAAACGGCGGCCGUAACUAUAACGGUCCUAAGGUAGCGAAAUUCCUUGUCGGGUAAGUUCCGACCUGCACGAAUGGCGUAAUGACUUCCCCGCUGUCUCCAGCGUCAGCUCAGUGAAAUUGAAUUCCCCGUGAAGAUGCGGGGUUCCUGCGGUCAGACGGAAAGACCCCGUGCACCUUUACUGUAACUUUGCACUGGCAUUCGUGUCGGCAUGUGUAGGAUAGG